rnacentral:rRNA from 1 species
CCUACGGGUGGCAGCAGUGGGGAAUAUUGGACAAUGGGGUGAACCCUGAUCCAGCCAUGCCGCGUGUGUGAAGAAGGCCCUCGGGUUGUAAAGCACUUUCAGUGAGGAAGAACGCCUGGUGGUUAAUACCCAUCAGGAAAGACAUCACUCACAGAAGAAGCACCGGCUAACUCCGUGCCAGCAGCCGCGGUAAUACGGAGGGUGCGAGCGUUAAUCGGAAUUACUGGGCGUAAAGCGCGCGUAGGUGGCUUGAUAAGCCGGUUGUGAAAGCCCCGGGCUCAACCUGGGAACGGCAUCCGGAACUGUCAGGCUAGAGUGCAGGAGAGGAAGGUAGAAUUCCCGGUGUAGCGGUGAAAUGCGUAGAGAUCGGGAGGAAUACCAGUGGCGAAGGCGGCCUUCUGGACUGACACUGACACUGAGGUGCGAAAGCGUGGGUAGCAAACAGGAUUAGAUACCCUGGUAGUC